rnacentral:rRNA from 1 species
CCUACGGGGGGCUGCAGUGGGGAAUAUUGGACAAUGGGGGCAACCCUGAUCCAGCCAUGCCGCGUGUGUGAAGAAGGCCCUCGGGUUGUAAAGCACUUUCAGUGAGGAAGAACGCCUGGUGGUUAAUACCCAUCAGGAAAGACAUCACUCACAGAAGAAGCACCGGCUAACUCCGUGCCAGCAGCCGCGGUAAUACGGAGGGUGCGAGCGUUAAUCGGAAUUACUGGGCGUAAAGCGCGUGUAGGUGGCUUGAUAAGCCGGUUGUGAAAGCCCCGGGCUCAACCUGGGAACGGCAUCCGGAACUGUCAAGCUAGAGUGCAGGAGAGGAAGGUAGAAUUCCCGGUGUAGCGGUGAAAUGCGUAGAGAUCGGGAGGAAUACCAGUGGCGAAGGCGGCCUUCUGGACUGACACUGACACUGAGGUGCGAAAGCGUGGGUAGCAAACAGGAUUAGAUACCCCAGUAGUC